ensembl:misc_RNA 7SK 7SK RNA
GAAUGUGAGGGCAACAUGGCUGUGGCACCUGUCACCCCACUGUUUGCCAGCAUUGAUCUGGCUCAUCUGGCUAAGCAGGUGCCCCCUCCCUCCCUCACUGCUUCACCUGUGUUCCUUCUGCAAGGUGCAUGCUCUGCUGAAGAGGAUGACCACCUCCAACAGAGGACUGUUUCCGAGGCCAAGGGCAUACGAGUAACUGUGCUCACCUGUUAGAACAUCCAAACAAGCUCUUAAAAUGCUAACAUUGUGGGCAUAAACAGACAAAAAAAUAUGCGUUAUCUUCAUUUUAAUGUCCUCUGUGCAACAUAUGGGAAGAUUU